GUUGAAACACCGGUUAUCUUACGGUCACUGAAGUUAAGCAACACCGAAUCUAGUUAGUACCUAGAUGGGUGACCACAUGGGAAUACCAGGUCCUGUAAG